CCAGUAUUCCUUCCGGAAAUAACGUCUUUAUUUGUAACUAGUACUUAUAACAGCAAUACAAGUCAAGAAAAAGCAAAUCAAAUGACAUACAGUAAAGACAUUCUGAGCCAGAGACCCCAGCUUCAUGCACAGAAACUAUGAUCAGGAGUGCAAAUGCACCCUCAUGCACAUUCAUUUACUUCACAUUAACUCAUAUAAAAACAAUCAUAUUCAGUCUCUAUUAGUUACAGUUUUGAUUUACAAGAGGUCAGACGAAAAGAACAUAGAAAAAUGAAACAAUCAAAUUUGCUUAACACAGAGUGGUGUGUUUAAAGCAAGUCCAAACCACCAUGAUUUAUUUACACUCAAUAUCAGGUCUUGCAUCAAUACAAGAAAAAUGUCAAGUCACCCCGUCUGGGUGCAGUUUGCUUUGCAAAACACACUUAGUAUUUGCUUUGUCAAUUACUAUCAAUCAUGACUACAAAAUUACUUUCAAGCUCCAGUGAUAAUUGUGCCAAGAAGCAGAGCAUGACUGAAGAAGGUUGAAGUUUCCAUGCCUGUCGUAAGUUAUUGCAGUCACUAGGUGGCGAUGUAGUUAUAGCUUAGACAAGAGAGCACAUGAAUUCAUGUGACUUGAACUAAAUCAAAUCAAACUGCAUGCAGUUAUUAAAGGAAAAUACAUUCAUAUAUAUAUAUAUACACCAAAUCUGCAAAGUAAACAAAUCUACAAAUGGUGGUUGGCUGACCUGUUAUAUUACUUCAUUAUGCUGACUGGCUAACAAAGCAGCUAAAAUGUCAAAUAAAGAGAGAUAAAAGAACAUGAGGUAAACGGAGAAAAAAAAAAUGUACAUGUAAAUCUAUAUUGACUGGCUUUUAUAAAAGCAUAAUUCUAACUUCUUAAACAUGGAGCAUACCACUUGCAGAGAAAUAAACUUAAAAACUG